CCCUUAGACGUUCUGGGCCGCACGCGCGCUACACUGACGGAGCCAGCGAGUAUAAACAUUGGCCGAGAGGUCUGGGAAAUCUUGUGAAACUCCGUCGUGCUGGGGAUAGAGCAUUGUAAUUAUUGCUCUUCAACGAGGAAUUCCUAGUAAGCGCAAGUCAUCAGCUUGCGUUGAUUACGUCCCUGCCCUUUGUACACACCGCCCGUCGCUACUACCGAUUGAAUGGCUUAGUGAGGCUUCCGGAUUGGUUUAGAGAAGGGGGCAACUCCAUCUUGGAACCGAGAAGCUAGUCAAACUUGGUCAUUUAGAGGAAGUAAAAGUCGUAACA
rnacentral:rRNA from 1 species